UUUUUUGUUUUUUGUUUUUUUUUUUUUUGAAUUGGUGUUUCCCUGUUUAAUGAAGUGCUGGAAUUACAGGUGUGUGCCAGGCCAGAGAAAAAGAGUAUUCUAAAAGCCACUGGUAAUGGAAAAUUAUCUCAUAAGUGCCGCUCUGUCUGUUGGCAAAGCCAUGUCAGCCCGUUCAGAGAUUCUCUGGGAUAAGCAAAGUCUUCCUGGGGCAGCCGGUCUCACUUCUAGGCUCUCAAGAGAACGGUCACAGCUGGUGAUUUGGGUAGAUAUUUACUCUUAGAAAGUGCUUCUCUGUACUAUCUUACCGGACAGCUCACCUAAUCAAAGGUAAAUAGGUUUAUCGCCUCAUUAAGGCUUGUUUUAUGGCCACUUGAAAGCAGUGUUCUGAGUGGGAACUGUGUCUGUCAGAGACUUUGCCUGGAACAUCUGUAUAAGAUGCACUGGCAACUGCAGAGGCUUCCCUCCCUCAGCGUUGGGAUGGCUCAGGCAUAAGGAAUCUUUGCGAGGCUCUCACUGGCGAUCUCACUUGAGUGUUGUGGUCAGUGAGUUUUGCUGAUGUGUUUUCUAGAGCUGUCAAGGUCCGAUGAAUGGACAGAUGCCAGAAAUGUAAUUAUGUUUAUUAAUAUACAUUGAUUGCUUGUUUAGUUUAUAAAACAAAUUUAAAAAUACAUUAGUAUUUAAGCCCUUUAUAGCCAACCUAAUGAUUGCUUGUGAUAUAAUGUCUAGAGGAGAAUAUUCCCUAAGACCUGUAAAAACCAACUCUGUGCACCAAUUAGUAGACUUUGAUCUAAGGUGCUAUAAUUAUGGAAUUGAAUAGUUGCCUCUCCAAAUAACAAAAUCAUAGGUUUACAUGUAUAAAGGCAGUGCCUUGAUCAUUUCAUAUUUGUAGUAAAGGCAAGCCACCUAAAUAAAGAGAUUGCGUCCACAUCAGUGCAACAUUAAAACCGAGAGAGAAUGCCAAGCAUCCCAUUAAUUUGGGAUAUAACUGCCUCAAACUUUCCCGAAACACUUACACCAAAGAACAACAUGACUCUAUCAAGCAGUUCUCCCUUAGGACACAGAGGUAAGGCAAACAUGACUCUAAACAGCACAGUAUUACACAAUAAAACUGAGGACAGUGGGUUCUACCAGAUGCCAAAUACAGCCACCAUUUGUAGAGCUCCAGAAGGCAUUCAGCAAAGUGAGCAUUUUUGUGCAAGUACCACCUUCAUUGUCUUUGUCUCCAGGAAAGUGCCCCUUGUCACCUUCCUCUACCCUACCAGGAGUCCCUGCUUCCAGAGAGUCUCUGGGACAGCAAGGUGGUCCUACCAGGUGUUUCAGUGAGAUAACUGGUUCCAAGAAACCUUCUGUGUUUCACCUAAGGUGGGGGAGGUGGCCUCUUUUCUCUGUAUGAUUUACAUUGACCGCGACUUUCGAAAGCUAUGUUACAUCCCAGUUAGAACUCAUUACAUCCUUCACAGACGACUGCUGACAGUUUCCAUACCUCUAACAAGAACUUGAGUUGGCCGGUUUUAUGAGUGAGUCAGCUCCUGUCCCUGUUUCUUUCUGGGGCCUCAGAGUCAUAAGCACUCAGUGCCACCGAGAAUAAUCAUAAGAUGGCCACCAUUUGCUUUUCCCUUUUAAUGCUUGGGGGCUCCUUGAGAGCACGGUUACAACUGCUCAGAAGGGCUUUCUCCCAAACUGUUUACUGUGGAAGUGGUCACCCCGUGGUGCUUUUCAUCUGAACGCAUAGGCAGCAAGCGUUGAUGUCAGUGUAACAAAUAAUGUGUACAAGUUUUUUAAAAACCCUGAAUUUACUGAAUCCCCAUAUUAUGUUUUCAUGCUGGUCCUUAGGAGCAGUGCUGAUACAAUACUUCUAUAAACCAAUCUUGGCCCUGGCAGGCCCUAUUGGAACUAAUGGGGCCUGACAGUUCUUCAGUUAAAAAUUAUACAUGAGGGUCACUUUCCCUUAAAUUAUCUAUUGUAUGCCAGCUGUUCACAAGUGCAGUGCUUCACUUCCUUUGCCUUGCUAGAAAUGUCUAUUUCCCCCAUAAUAUCCAUCGCAAAUGUCCUCACAGACACCGCUGAAAGUAGUAAAACUUCAGGCACACCUUCAAGAGGUCCAUUUGCCAUUUUCUGUAUUUCUUGUCGUUGUUGUUCUGCAAACAUGCAGAGUGGCCCAUUUCUGCCCGCUUCAUGCCACAGCACUUGAGCUGUAUCAUAAUUUUCUCAUUACUGAACAACUUUAUCCUAUCUCUAUGCUUCUCAGUGAUGCAGCUUUGAGUGUCCAGGAGCGGCACUUGCAUGCCGUGAGCGCUAUCAAAGGCAACCUCAGACAGAUAAAAGUCCUGGGUUUCUCUGUCUUGUUUUGUUUUUCUUCCUGGGGAGGAGAGAAGAAGAGUCAUCAACGAGGGCCUUCUUUUGUUUCUCUGGCCUAUUAAAACUAUAAGCAAUAGAACCAUUAAAAGACAGAGGAAAAAAAAACAAGCCUUGUGUGUGAAUAGAGGUGUUCUUCUCAAAUGUUACUCAUUUACCCUGGAGUGGUUAUCUCUGGAUUAUAAUUAAAACACAGAGUUUUUUUCCUCUUCUUCUUUUAUGGGUUUUUUUUUUUCCUUCAGAAUGUCCCCAGUGCAGUACCCCUCCACAAUGUUAUUGGAUCUCCUUACCAACAAGCGGCUGUGACUUAAUAAGCCUGUCCCCACCCCUCGCCAUGUGUAGGUUAACGGGUGGCUAAGACUGCAUGUGAUACAAAGGUUACACAUUCAGUGAUAUUUUCUGCCUUAUUGGUAAAAAUGGGGAGGUGGGGUGAGAGGAUUUCCUUUAAUUAUGAGGUAAGUGUGGUGUUAGUAGUUAUUUCUGUAGCCUGGUGAACAUGCUGACUCCUUGGGGCCUAAUUUUUAGCAUAUGUUCCCCUCUGUGUAGUAAGAGGGUGACCUGUGCUUUCUGAAUCUUCUGGCUUUUAAAGGACACGGGCUUCACUACUUGCUGUGGAAGCUGGUCACCCAACUGUUUCUCCAGAAUGGUUUUGUUUUGUUUUGUUUUGUUUCUUAUUUUUCAAACCUUGGUAGAUAAGCCUGCAGCCGUUGGUCAAGGUCAGAUGUCAGUGGAAGUGACUUGGCUUUCCCCUUCUGUGCAAGCAUCCUGAGUCUGGGGCAUUAAUAAGCACCAGUUCUGGUUGUCUUUCAGAAGAACAUGGAAGCUCUUUAAACAGAGGUGCCCAGUUUGCAGUUGCCAUGCCCCUGAGUGGGUGUGUAGAGCAAGGGCAACAGCCUUGUCCAGUUACAAAGAGAACUGUCUGACAGUGGUGCAGUACUCCUGGCACAUAGACAGCUCUGUGGGAUGGGAGGAUGGCGCAGCCCUGGCCUCCGGUGCGGAUAAGCCGGGUAAUAGCUGGUGUAGGAAGGGUGGUUGGUGAUCAUUGGUAAGUACGAUUACUACGUGUAUAAAACUUAACACUGGGGCCAUUGCACAGGUGGGGGGUUCCUGUUUAUUGAUUUUUAUGACUUAGUUAGAACACACGUUUAAUGCUUUUAUACUCCAACAGCUCUGGGAGGGCUCACCUUAGGUGAUAAACCUUUCUGUGCUCUGCAGUCGCUCACAAUUUACAUGGGGAGUCACAUUAUCCCGUACAAAGCUCAGUACCCCCUUCUACUUGGUUUUAGGAGUGCCAUAAAAAAGGCAAAGCAAAUAACUAUAACACUCACUUUGAAUUUCUUUAAAAACCUGUCCACUCCUGCUAGGAAAAUGGCCCCCUAAUUUUAAUUACUCAGAUUUCC
rnacentral:lncRNA from 1 species